GAUCUCGGUCACGAUGUGUUCUGUGAAUUUAUACUAUUGGGCAGUACUAAAUCAAACAUGGUUUGCGAUCAAUCAAAUGAAUGGAGGAACUUUGGCCACUGUUUAUCCUUUUAAUGGUAGUUUGAGGCUGUUCUGCUGAUGUUGCGACUCAGUAGAUUGAAGCAUUCCCAUGUAAUUUUAAUUGAGCUAUGGAAUUUCAAAUAAGCAUUCUGCAAAUAUGGUCUUCAAUUUCAGAGUUUGGAAAUUAAUAAUGGUUCUAUCUUGUUGAAAGAAGCCAGAAAAGAGCAAUUGUGAAUUGGCCUUGCAAUUAUUAGAGAACACAAGGGAUAGCCCAAGAAUGCUCACCUCCCAGAGGUUGUAUUUGGCAUAAAAAGAAAAGAUCCUACAGUUCACUGCUUUACAGUUACAUGA
rnacentral:misc_RNA from 1 species